rnacentral:snoRNA from 11 species
CAUACUUGGUACAGAGGUAUUUCAAUGUAAAGUGCAUUACAGAAGUCUAACCUUGAUGUUACCAGUGCAUGCACUACCAUCUUAAGUGUU